rnacentral:rRNA from 1 species
AAUCUCUUUUGUCAAUAUGGUCUCUCAAAAAGAAUUAGCCUGUUAUCCCUACGGUAGCUUUAUUUUUUAAUCGCAUAGCGGAUCUUUAUAUAUAAAAGAGAAGAUUUAGAUUUUCUCUUGUUGCCCCAACAAAAUUUUAGGUAUGAGGGCAUACUUUUAAAUCAAGCUCGAUAGGGUCUUUUUGUCUUUUUAAGUUAUUUAAGCCUCUUCACUUAAAGGUUAAUUUUUAUUUAUAAAAAAGAAACAGAUUGACU